GCCUUAGAAACUUUGCAUCUUGUCUUCGAGUCUAGUAGUGUCAUGUUAGAUGAUUGUCAUUUUUGUCCCUUUUUUUUUAUGAAUGUCAUCUUUGUUGGCCUUUUAGCAAAACUUGGUUAUAAGUUUAAGAAAAAGAUGAUUUUUGUGAUAUCAUUAUGAAUGAUACUACAAUUAUGCAUGGACAAUUGAAACAUGACAU
rnacentral:lncRNA from 1 species